CUCUUCUCCUCUUUCUUUCUAUAGACUGUGACCCGCCCCCUCCGGAGAUUGCAGUUAAACAGAAAUGCUUUGCAAGGACUAGCUGUCACAACUCUAGGACCUCAAGAUCUUAAGACCUGGCGACACAGACAGAGAUGGCGUGGUCCUGUGCCUUGGCUUCAGUUCCCAGUGGGGUUCCAUUGACAGUUGGCUUCCUACGCCACAGGAGUUUGGAAACCUUAUCAGAGAGGUUACACGGUCCCCCAGUCAACCCCCUGAUAAGUCCUGCAGACGGUUUCUACUGACCUUACCUCAAGUGCCUCUCCCAGCCCCUGGCUUCCCCCUGACGCACAGUGAGGGCUCAGCACCCAUAGACUGCUGGCUUGAAACAACUGGCAUGCUGUCUCCUGAUUGGGUGGCUUAUAAGCUGCGGGGCAUACUUGGAUGUUUAGUCUCCAUGCCCACCCCGGCUGGCUCCUGGGAGGAUGAUGUGGGCAGCUGAAAGUCGAGAGUUGGGUCUUGUCCCUGGGUUGGAGCCAUGUGCAGUGGCUGUCUCCGUGAGCGGCAGAUGUCUCUCAGUAUGGUUGCACACUUCGGCCUGUGACACAGACUGGCCUUUCAUUCCUGAGACCUUUCUGACCCUGGGAUAUGACCUGGACACCUUCUCUGGGGUUAGAGAAGUCAGCUGGAGAUAAGCAUGGAUUUCUUACUUUGUACCCUUUCUCCCUCCUCCCAGCAUUCUUAGCUGCAAGCUUCUGAGUGUCUCCCACAGUGUUUUGAGGAGAUCUGCAAUGUUCUUCUUGCGCAGAUAUUGUCACCCUGACUCUGUGUAACAAACUAUGUCCAAAACAUAGUGGCCCGUCAGCAUGCCCUACAUUUGUGCCUUUCUCCUACAACCCAUCUCUCUCCAUUCUAUGGAUGGAAAUUAUGGUCCCCUGGAUGCGAGGGAAAGGGGGACCCGUCUAACAUGUCAGUUGUACGCGAAGCUUCCUCGUGGUUUCCUGUUUCCUCCAGCUACCUCGCCUGCCAUCCCACUCUGGUCCUCUCUGGAUCCAAGUGUAUCUUUCCACAUCCGCGGCCCUGCCGUUCAUCUCCCUACCCAGCGGGAACCAGAAAUAAACCCCGAUGCAUUUCAAAUGUGAGACAGAGAAAGGAAAUGGAGAGAAUGCUGUCGGCGCUGGCUUCCAUUGCCUGACAAAUAUAGCGUGGUGACUUGAAUUCCGUAAGAAUUAAGCUCUGGUCUCUUGAAAUGCAUGCAAAUUCUUGCAGAAUAUAUAUGAAGAAGUCGCUCUAACUGUGGAGGCACUUCGGCUCCCUUGAUAAAUGGGGCUUCCAGACCACACUUUAUUGAGUCUCUGAUUUUUAAUAAUUUGAAUCCUGCAAGAUUUAAUUCUGCAUAAUUCUGGCUGAAAUCAGCUUUUGAUUGAGUUGUAAUGGCUCUGUUAUUGUAAAUAUCUCCGCAUGCUAAUGCCGCACUGGAAUUCAAUAAUAUUUAGAUGAAAUUUUUCGCCUCCAGCGUUAUGGGAGCAAGGUUUGGAAAUCAGGAAGUUUAUGUCACAGUGACAUCUAUUUUGGGGAACCUGCAACAUUUUUAAAUGCAAUAAACGGUCAUCCCAAGACAAGAUUUAAAUAAUUAUGAAUCUUAAAUAUAUA